rnacentral:rRNA from 1 species
CCCUUAGAUGUUCUGGGCCGCACGCGCGCCACACUGAUGCAUUCAACGAGUCUAAAACCUGCUCUGAUAGGGGUGGGUAAUCUUUUGAAUGUGCAUCGUGAUUGGGAUAGAUGAUUGCAAUUUUUCAUCUUCAACGAGGAAUGCCUAGUAAACGCAAGUCAUCAGCUUGCAUUGAUUACGUCCCUGCCCUUUGUACACACCGCCCGUCGCUCCUACCGAUUGAAUGAUCCGAUGAAUAUCAUGGAUUGAGGAUUAUAGCAGGUUCGCCUGUCUUGAUCUUCGAGAAGUGAAGUAAAUCUUAUCAUUUAGAGGAAGGAGAAGUCGUAACA